UAUGUGGUAGCUCAGUUGGUAGAGCAAGGGAUUCGUAAUCCCAAUGUCGCUGGUUCGAACCCAGUCCACAUAG
rnacentral:tRNA from 1 species